AUGAAGGACCGGACUGAAAAAUUGUCUUGUUUUAACAAUCAGAAGAGAUGCAUACACAUAAUUAUUCUUUAUAUAUUUCUUGUGCAUGAUAAUACAAAAGGUGUGUUUCUAUAUAUAUUUGUUUUUGCAGAGUAUCAGAGAGAUGAAGAUGGAUUACGAUAUUCAAAAAGAAUUCAUCGACAAGGGUGUUCAGGCUAUGUUGUUGAAAUGGGCCAAAAAUUCACUAAGUUUUAUACAACAGAAGGCCCGUGGCAACGCACGGUCAUGUCACACACUGAUGAAUUAUUGGCAUGGGAUAAUCUCUAG
rnacentral:rRNA from 1 species